GCCACGGCUUCCUUUUUAAGACCCCGGUCAGGCCUUCUGAGAGGCCCAGCCACCUGCUCCCUUGGCGGCAGGGACAACCAAAGCAUAAGACGGCAGAAGGGCAUCACGGCUUGCAGUUCCCAUGGCGAUUAACGGUUCAGACGGACUACAAUACCCAGCGUGCCGCUGCAAGGGGCUACUUCCGGCAGCCCUGCGCUGACUUCAAAGAGCUGCUCUUAAGCGGACUGCGUUACCCAGCAUGCGCAGCGGUACAAAAGGGAAGCUGGAGGCUCAAUGGGCGUGCUGGGGGAUGCUGGGAACUGUAGUCCUUGCUGCAUGAGGGAACUUGUCAAACCCAAAAGUUGGCCUUGGGCCAAUCACUGUCUCUCAGUGACUUGCGUGAGGAUAAAAACAGGAUAAAAACAAAUGCACCCUAAAACAAUUAAAGCAGUCUGAAGAAGAUGACGUACUUCUAAAAGCAGUUGCCGUUCAAAAACAUUCUUGGAUUCAGUGAUCUUUGGGGUGGCCAGGAGUAGUGCAGGGGUGUGUUUUUUUUUUUAAUUCCUGGAAGUUAAUAUUGAUGGACACAGGUGCAUGCACCUCAAUAGGGAAGCCAUUCCGCAAAUGGGGAGCCACCACUGAAAAGGCCCCGUUGUGUUUAAGAUAACUUUUGCAAAACAAAAAAACCGGAGGCUUUUCUUUUGAGAAUUAUGAGAAUUACCUAGACAAUAUAGAAAUGUAUUUAUGUAUGCAGCCAUGGUCUCCUGGAUGAUCUUUGCCCAAAGAUGGAAAGCAGAAAACGUCCCAACAAAAGAGGAAUGGUUACAGAAACAACUAUGCAGAAAUGGCGAAAGUUACCAAAAGAAUAAGAAAUCAAAAUGAUCAAGUUUUUAAGAAAGAAUGGAAAUCAUUUAUAGAAUACAUACAAAAUUAUUAUAAACAAAUUAAGGCAUUAGCAGGCUUAAUAUGAAAACAUGCAGCAGUUGUGAGGGGAAGUCUAUGGAACACAGGGAAAAAUGAUAAUUUGGUUUAAUUUGGAAAUGCAGUAAAAUAUUAUAAAAACAAGGAACUGCAGAAGGGGGGAGGGGAGUCGAAGUAAGAGAUAUAUGAUAAACCUUUUGCAUUUAAAAAUUGGGGGGUUUUUUUGUAUGUUGUAAAAUAAAUUAUAUAAAUAAAAUUGUUAUUUUUAAAAAAAAGAAAAGUCCCCGUCAUGGGCCAAUGAUGACAGUGGAGGAAGCCCAGAGUCAGUGGCUACCAGAAGGCUCUCUCAUUAGGGGUCUACAGUACUUUGGAGGAAGGGUGUAUUUUGGAGAAGGGAGAAGAUCACCUGGAGGGAGAAAACACAAUGUACAAGAAGUGACCCAUGCUGUAAGCAAUGAGCAAGAUAAGAAUACAGUGGUGCCCCGCAAGACGAACACCUCGCAAGACGAAAAACUCGCAAGACGAAAGGUUUUUUCAUUUUCGAGUUGCUUCGCAAGACGAAUUUCCCUAUGGGCUUGCUUCGCAAGACGAAAACGUCUUGCAAGUUUGUUUCCUUUUUCGUAAAACCGUUAAAACCCAGGGUGCAUUGCUGGAAGAGGUGCAGUUGCGACUUGACUUCGAGGAGCAACACAUUGUGUGGUGGCCUUUUUGAGCUUUUUAAAGAGUUUGCUGAAUUUUUGAAGCUUUUCCAAAACUUCUUUUGCAGCUGUUUGGUAAGUUAAACUUUUAAAACUUUUUUGGGGUUUUUUGGAUUUUGGGUUGGGGUGUUUAGAAUUCAAGGACUUGGUGUUGGGGAGGGGUUUGCAAGAAUCUGGGAGCUUGUGUGGUUUUUUUCUGCAUUUUUAUGAUUUUCUGUGACCAUUGGGCCAUGUUUAUUUAAAAAAAAAAUAUCUGGGUUUGAAUUUUUGAAUUUCUGUGUGCUGGGUGGAUGGGGGAACAGCUGGAGAGGGGUUUGCAAGAAUCUGGGAGCUUGUGUGGUUUUUUCUGCAUUUUUAUGAUUUUCUGUGACCAUUGAGCCAUGUUUAUUUUUUUAUAAAAAAAAAAAAUCUGGGUUUGAAUUUUUGAAUUUCUGUGUGCUGGGUGGAUGGGGGAACAGCUGGGGAAGGGUUUGCAACAAUAUGGGAGCUUGUGUGGGGUUUUUUUGAAUUUUUAUGAUUUUCUGUGACCAUUGGGCCAUGUUGUUGUUUUUUGAAAAAAAUUUCUGGGUUUUGAAUUUCUGUGUGCUGGGUGGCUGGGGGAACAGCUGGGGAGGGGUUUGCAAGAAUCUGGGAGCUUGUGUGGGGUUUUUUUGAAUUUUUAUGAUUUUCUGUGACCAUUGGGCCAUGUUGUUGUUUUUUUGAAAAAAAAUUCUGGGUUUUGAAUUUCUGUGUGCUGGGUGGAUGGGGGAACAGCUGGGGAGGGGUUUGCAGGAAUCUGGGAGCUUGUGUGGUUUUUUUCUGAAUUUUUAUGGUUUUCUGUGACCAUUGGGCCAUGUUGUUGUUUUUUGAAAAAAUAUCUGGGUUUUGAAUUUCUGUGUGCUGGGUGGAUGGGGGAACAGCUGGGGAGGGGUUUGCAAGAAUCUGGGAGCUUGUGUGGUUGUGUUUUUUUUUUUUUUGGAAUUUUUAUGGUUUUCUGUGACCAUUGGGCCAUGUUGUUGUUUUUUGAAAAAAAUUCUGGGUUUUGAAUUUCUGUGUGCUGGGUGGCUGGGGGAACAGUUGAGGAGGGGUUUGCAACAGUUGGGGAGGGGUUUGCAACAGUUGGGGAGGGGCUGGGGGAACAGUUGAGGUUUUUGAAGACUUUGGUGAUUUUUAAAGCUUUCCCAAAACUUAUUUUGCAGCCAUUUGAGGAUUUUGAAGACUUUGGUGAUUUGCAGCCAUUUUGUAAGUUAAACUUUUAAAACUUUUUUGGGGGGUUUUGGAUUUUGGGUUGGGUGUUUGGAAUUCAAGGACUUGGUUCUGGGUUUGAAUUGCUGAUUUUUUUUUUUUUUUUUCUGAGUUUACGAAGGUAACAGCUGUGCUGCCAUGGGACCCAAAAAGACUGCUGCUGCUGCGGAGGCCGGCAAGAGGAAGAAGGAGAAGGUGACGCUGGAAAUGAAGAAGGAGAUCAUCCGGAAGCACGACGGUGGAAUGCGUGUGACAGACCUCGCCAGGGAGUACGGCAGGAACCCAUCGACCAUCGGGACCAUCCUGAAGAUGAGGGAGAAGAUCCUUGCGACUGAUGCAGCCAAGGGAGUCACCAGGAUCGUGAAGAACCGCCCAGCUGUUCUGGAGGAGGUCGAGAAGUUGCUGCUCAUCUGGUUAGAAGAGAAGCAGCGUGCAGGGGACACAGUGACUGAGGCCGUCAUUUGUGAGAAGGCCAAGGCCUUGCAUGCAGACCUCAUCCGGGAACAGCCAGGAACCUCGGCCGAGCCAGAAGUCUUCAAGGCAAGCAGAGGCUGGUUUGACCGGUUCAAGGCAAGAUCUGGAAUCCACAGCGUGGUCAGGCAUGGAGAGGCUGCCAGUUCUGAUGUUCCUGCGGCUGAAGACUUUGCCUUGGAGUUCCUGGAGGUUGUGAAGACGGAGGGCUACGUUCCACAGCAGGUCUUCAACUGCGACGAGACCGGGCUGUUUUGGAAGAGAAUGCCCAAAAGGACUUUCAUCACACAGGAGGAGGCCAAGUUGCCUGGCCACAAGCCCAUGAAGGACCGUCUGACCCUGCUCUUCUGUGCCAACGCAAGCGGCGACCUGAAGAUCAAGCCCCUGCUGGUGUACCACUCGGAGAACCCACGGGCCUUCAAGAAACACAUGGUCGACAAGGAGCGGCUGAGUGUCAUGUGGCGAUCCAACAGUAAGGCUUGGGUCACACGUGUGCUGUUUGUGGACUGGGUCAAUCUUGCUUUUGGCUCUGCUGUCAAACAGUACCUGCUGGACAAUGACCUGCCGCUGAAGGCUUUGCUUCUGAUGGACAAUGCUCCUGCUAAUCCUAAAGGCCUUGAGGUGGACUUGUUGGAGGAGUUCAGCUUCAUCAACAUCAUGUUCCUGCCGCCUAACACCACGCCACUGCUCCAGCCGAUGGAUCAGCAGGUCAUCACCAAUUUCAAGAAACUCUACACCAAGGAGCUUUUCAGGCGAUGCUUCGAGGUGACUGAUUGCACCACCAUCACCCUGCGGGAAUUCUGGAAGGACCGCUUCGACAUCGUCACCUGCUUGAAGAUGAUCACCACGGCCUGGAACGGGAUCAGCCAGAGAAAUUUGAAUUGCGCUUGGCGCAGCCUGUGGCCGGACUGUGUGGCACCAAGUGACUCUGAUGCACCAGAGUCAACAGUGGUGCAGGACAUUGUUGCCUUGGGGAGGACCAUGGGCCUGGAGGUCACAGAGGAGGACGUCAGCGAGCUGGUGGAGGAGCACGACCACGAGCUGACCACCCAGGAGCUGGUUGAACUGCAGUCAGAGGUUGCGCAGGAGCAGGCCUCGCUGGAAGAAGAGGCAGCAACUGAGGAACGGCCGUCCUCCAAAGAACUGAGGGACAUUUGCCAGAAGUGGAAGGAGGUGCAGGCUUUUGCAGAGCGGCAGCACCCUAACAAGCACGUGGCACAUGACCAAGCGAACACUUUUGAUACGACGGUCAUGUUGCCUCUCAGGGAGCUGCUGAAAAGGCGGAUGAAGCAGCAGACCAUGGACAGGUUCCUCAGCAAGAAGCAAAGAGUGGAAGAGGAACCUUCUUCGAGUGGUCCCCAGAGUCUUAGAAAAUGUAAUGUACCCUUUUUGAUUUUUAAAUGUUUUUCCUGUCAUGUUUAGAAACUUAAUUUAUUGUUCCUUCAAUUUUUGAUAUGCUCUUUAAAGUAUGUGUGACUUUAAAGAGCACUUAAUAAACUCUUGUUGUACC